rnacentral:rRNA from 1 species
AGUGAACGCUGGCGGCGUGCCUAAUACAUGCAAGUCGAACGGAGUGGCGCACGGGUGUGUAUUAUAUAGCUAAUCUGCCCCUUUCUGGAGGACUACAGUUAGAAAUGACUGCUUAUACCCCAUAACAAGGGAUGAGACUAUAUCGUAUCAGCUAGUCGGUGGGGUAACGGCCUACCGAGGCUAUGACGCGUAACUGGUCUGAGAGGAUGAUCAGUCACAUUGGAACUGAGGCACAGUCCAAACUCCUACGGGAAGCAGCAGUAGAGGAUAUUGCGCAAUGGGGGAAACCCUGGCGCAGCAACGCCGCGUAGAGGAUGACACUUUUCGAAGCGUAAACUCCUUUUGUUAGGGAAGCGGUACCUAACGAAUAAGCACCGGCUAACUCCGUGCCAGCAGCCGCGGUAAUAC